CCAACCCUACGGGAGGCAGCAGUGAGGAAUAUUGGUCAAUGGACGAGAGUCUGAACCAGCCAAGUAGCGUGAAGGAUGACUGCCCUAUGGGUUGUAAACCUCUUUUAUAUGGGAAUAAAAUGUUCCACGUGUGGGAUUUUGUAUGUACCAUAUGAAUAAGGAUCGGCUAACUCCGUGCCAGCAGUCGCGGUAAUACGGAGGAUCCGAGCGUUAUCCGGAUUUAUUGGGUUUAAAGGGAGCCUAGGUGGAUUGUUAAGUCAGUUGUGCAAGUUUGCGGCUCAACCGUAAAAUUGCAGUUGAAACUG
rnacentral:rRNA from 1 species